GUCCACCGCCUCUGUGAAUGGAGGGGGAAAGUGAGAUGAGACAAAUGUAAAGAAACGUUCGCAUCAGUCACGAUCAACGCUCGACAUGGUUUGGGAUUUAAAGAUGAUGGGAUGGUGAAAGUGAUUUAGAGACAGCUGCUAAUGGGCUGACAGCGAUACAGCCGCUCUCCACCAAAGACACUAAUCUAUACAGCAUGACCACGAGGAAGACCCGCUAAUCACCGAGACCAAUGGCUUGGAGUUGAUCUGCCCAAAUGGAGCUACACUAGCUAACAUCCCUUAGCCCUCCACCCAAGCCCCCCAGCCCACCCCUCUUCCUCCUCCGUCUCUCCCUUUAUCCGUCCGUUUAGCCAGUAUGCAUAUCCAUCAGCUCAGCCGAGCAUCGUGGCCAGCAAAGCGAGCCAGACCCCACACACACAUAUCAAAACAUGCAGAGGCAGACAGGCCAGGUAAACAAACAUCACACAGCCCAAUGGUUCAUCUAAUGUUCCAUGACUUGACUGCUAGUGAUGUCUCUUUCCCAAAAUGCGCGCACACACACACACACACACACACCAUCAAAGACGAGUCCAGGAUCACCGAAAGCCAGUACAAGUUGUGUUUACCAAAGUAGGAGGAUGGACAGAUAGAGGCAGACGGGCAAGGGCAGGUCAAAGGGAUGCUCGGUGAAAGAGAGGUGGUGUGUUUAAAGAAUGAAGGGACAGAAGUGACGAGAUGACAGCUCUUCAGGCCAACUUUGAUACCUUUUUGCAUGUUCACUUGCCACAUGUUGACAUAUUAAAUAGGAUUAAUUAA